GACGAACGCUGGCGGCGUGCUUAACACAUGCAAGUCGAACGGAAAGGCCCUGCUUUUGUGGGGUGCUCGAGUGGCGAACGGGUGAGUAACACGUGAGUAACCUGCCCUUGACUUUGGGAUAACUUCAGGAAACUGGGGCUAAUACCGGAUAGGAGCUCCUGCUGCAUGGUGGGGGUUGGAAAGUUUCGGCGGUUGGGGAUGGACUCGCGGCUUAUCAGCUUGUUGGUGGGGUAGUGGCUUACCAAGGCUUUGACGGGUAGCCGGCCUGAGAGGGUGACCGGCCACAUUGGGACGGAGAUACGGCCCAGACUCCUACGGGAGGCAGCAGUGGGGAAUAUUGCACAAUGGGCGGAAGCCUGAUGCAGCAACGCCGCGUGCGGGAUGACGGCCUUCGGGUUGGAAACCGCUUUCGCCUGUGACGAGGCGUGAGUGACGGUAAUGGGUGAAGAAGCACCGGCUAACUACGUG
rnacentral:rRNA from 1 species